rnacentral:rRNA from 1 species
GGGCCCGCACAAGCGGAGGAACAUGUGGUUUAAUUCGAUGAUACGCGAGGAACCUUACCCGGGCUCGAACGGCAGAUGAACGAUGCAGAGAUGCAAAGGUCCUUCGGGACAUCUGUCGAGGUGCUGCAUGGUUGUCGUCAGCUCGUGUCGUGAGAUGUUGGCUUAAGUGCCAUAACGAGCGCAACCCUUGUCGCCAGUUACCAUCAAGUAAGGUUGGGGACUCUGGCGAGACUGCCACCGCAAGGUGUGAGGAAGGCGGGGAUGACGUCAAAUCAGCACGGCCCUUACGUCCGGGGCGACACACGUGUUACAAUGGCGACCACAGAGGGAAGCCACCUGGCAACAGGGAGCAGAUCUCGAAAAGUCGUCUCAGUUCGGAUUGGAGUCUGCAACUCGACUCCAUGAAGCUGGAUUCGCUAGUAAUCGCGCAUCAGCCAUGGCGCGGUGAAUACGUUCCCGGGCCUU